rnacentral:rRNA from 1 species
GUGUAGCAAUACACACUGAUGGCGACCGGCAAACGGGUGCGGAACACGUACGCAACUUACCCUUAAGUGGGGGAUAGCCCGGGGAAACCCGGAUUAAUACCUCGUAACACUGUGAAGUGGCAUCACUUUAUAGUUAUAGCUCCGGCGCUUAAGGAUGGGCGUGCGUCCCAUUAGGUAGUUGGUUGAGGUAACGGCUCACCAAGCCUGCGAUGGGUAACUGGUGUGAGAGCACGACCAGUCACACGGGCACUGAGACACGGGCCCGACUCCUACGGGAGGCAGCAGUAAGGAAUAUUGGUCAAUGGACGCAAGUCUGAACCAGCCAUGCCGCGUGGAGGAUGAAGGCCCUCUGGGUUGUAAACUUCUUUUAUGGGGGACGAAACCCCGGAUUUUUAUCCGGCCUGACGGUACCCCAGGAAUAAGCACCGGCUAACUCCGUGCCAGCAGCCGCGGUAAUACGGAGGGUGCAAGCGUUAUCCGGAUUCACUGGGUUUAAAGGGUGCGUAGGCGGGUUUGUAAGUCAGUGGUGAAAUCCCGAAGCUUAACUUCGGAACUGCCGUUGAUACUACAGGUCUUGAAUACUCGGGAGGUGAGCGGAAUAUGUCAUGUAGCGGUGAAAUGCUUAGAUAUGACAUAGAACACCGAUUGCGAAGGCAGCUCACUACAGAGUCAUUGACGCUGAGGCACGAAAGCGUG